GCAAACUAUCCAAAGCCAAAGAUAUUCACUGGACCUUGAAUCUCAACUCAACACAGACAUAAGGUUACAACAAAGGCACAAUACCCCAGAAGAGUCCUCAGUGAAGCGUCAACAACACCAUGAGUGGCCUCAAACCAAAGAUGACGUGGAGCAGCAUGACUUUGUCCCCAAGGAAAGACCUUGUCAGACGUACAAUGAACAAGACUGGUACAUAGGAGCUUGUGAUCGAGCAGAGGCUGAACAUGCCUUACACCUGGUGAAUAAGGAUGGGGCAUUUUUGGUGCGGAAUUGCUCAAGGAACACGAAGAGCGAACCCUUUGUCUUAGCAGUGUUUCAUGACAAGAGAGUUUUCAACGUUAAAAUUCGGUUCAUUGAUAGCACCUCCAAGUACGUCCUUGGGACUGGG